GUGCCAGCAGCCGCGGUAAUACGGAGGGUGCGAGCGUUAAUCGGAAUUACUGGGCGUAAAGCGUGCGCAGGCGGUUUGUUAAGCGAGAUGUGAAAGCCCCGGGCUCAACCUGGGAACCGCAUUUCGAACUGGCAAACUAGAGUCUUGUAGAGGGGGGUAGAAUUCCAGGUGUAGCGGUGAAAUGCGUAGAGAUCUGGAGGAAUACCGGUGGCGAAGGCGGCCCCCUGGACAAAGACUGACGCUCAGGCACGAAAGCGUGGGGAGCAAACAGGAUUAGAUACCCUGGUAGUCCACGCCGUAAACGAUGUCUACUCGGAGUUUGGUGUCUUGAACACUGGGCUCUCAAGCUAACGCAUUAAGUAGACCGCCUGGGGAGUACGGCCGCAAGGUUAAAACUCAAAUGAAUUGACGGGGGCCCGCACAAGCGGUGGAGCAUGUGGUUUAAUUCGAUGCAACGCGAAGAACCUUACCUACUCUUGACAUCCACAGAA
rnacentral:rRNA from 1 species